UGCAGUCGUACGGGCCGCAAGGCCAGUGGCGCAAGGGUGAGUAAGGCGACGGUAACCAACCCCAUGAUUGGGAAUAGCCGCGGGAAACCGCGGGUAAUCCCCAGCGACGUCCCCGGAGGGCAUCCCCCGAGGACCAAAGCUCCGGCGUCGUGGGACGGGCCGUCGUGGUAUUAGGUCGUUGGCGGGGUAACGGCCCACCAAGCCGGCGAUGCCUACCGGGCGUGCGAGCGUGGCCCGGCACACUGGGACUGAGACACUGCCCAGACUCCUACGGGAGGCUGCAGUCGAGAAUCUUCGGCAAUGGGCGCAAGCCUGACCGAGCGACGCCGCGUGGAGGACGAAGGCCUUCGGGUUGUAAACUCCUGUCGAGGGGGAAGAAGGCGCAAGCUUGACUGAACCCUGGAGGAAGCACGGGCUAAGUUCGUGCCAGCAGCCGCGGUAAGACGAACCGUGCGAACGUUAUUCGGAAUCACUGGGCUUAAAGCGCGUGUAGGCGGGACGGCACGUCGGUCGCUGAAAGCCCCCGGCUCAACCGGGGAACGGGCGCCGAGACGACCGCCCUGGAGGGACGUAGGGGGACCUGGAACUUCCGGUGGAGCGGUGAAAUGCGUUGAGAUCGGAAGGAACGCCCGUGGCGAAAGCGAGGUCCUGGACGUCUGCUGACGCUGAGACGCGA
rnacentral:rRNA from 1 species